rnacentral:lncRNA from 1 species
UGUGUGUGUGUGUGUGUCUGUCUGUCUGUCUGUCUGUCUGUCUGUCUGUGUAAUGUGAGGAACUCCACAUUCCAAGGAAGGACCAACAAUGCACAGUUCUGUCCUCUCACAGAUUUGAGAUGUGGUGAGUAUUGUGACUUUCCUCACCUAUAAUAAUGAAUGUCUAUCAGAUGCAUUGCUAUGAUGAUGUCUACAGUUAUGACUGCCUUAUUUUCUUUUUGUUGUACUAGGGAUUGAAUUUAGUGCCGCCUACAUUUUAGACAAGUGUUUAGACUGUGUCACUGAGCUAUGUACUCUGCCUUUCACUAGAAUUCUAGGCAGGUGAUCUACAACUGACCUACACUGCUGGACCCCUCUAAAAAUUAUCUAUGACAGAAUCUCAUUAAGUUUUGUAGGCAGUUCUUAAACUUGAGAUCCUUCCUCUCAGUUCCCCAGUGCUGGAAUUCCUGGGUAUGCUCUACCUGACCUGGUCCUGUGUUCCUUCUUGUUCACUCCCAGCACAUUUGGAGAAAGGCAUUUUCCAAACAGAAAAAAAAUCCCAGAUGCACACUAUAGGUAGAAAGGGCAGAACAAAACUUAACUCUUUCCACCUAACAAAGUUUACCCUUCAAAGAAAUCACAUAGAAUCAAAAAGAAAAAAAUAUCACUCAGACUUAAGUAAUAUCCAUCAUUUUUAAUCAGUUUUAUUUUUAAUAGCUUGGGAGGGAGGACCCGAGAUAUCAGUGAGUAGUAAAGGAGAGAACAGAGAAACUAACAUCAAAUUAGGGGAUCUUAUUUUAUGGCCAUUUGCUUUGUCAGACUUGUGAUUUGAAAGUAACAUUUUAUGGGAAAAGGGAGGGUAUUGAGAUAGGUCUAUGGACCCACGGCCAUACAUUUGCAAUGCACCCUACCUCAAUCCCCCUGCUUCAAUCUUCCUCAUUUUGAAAUCACAAAGAUGGAACACCACUCCUGACCUAUGAAAUAGACUAUUGGACAUACUCUGUGGACCUCUGAAAGACCUCUCUACCAGGAAGGCCCGUGAAUAGAUAGGUCUUCAAAACUCUUAAUGAGAUUCAAUUCCUAUAGAUACCUGAAAAACUCCAGCACUAGUGCCUUCUCCUGACACUGAGAACUUGAGAUUAGGGGGACUAGGGCUCAUGUGGCCACACCAACCUCAAUAGAUACUGUGUAACAAGUUCCACAGACUGAGGUGUUAGAGUCCAAAGAAAGGAGGUCUCCUGGAACCGGUUGCGGAACUCUCUAGGAUAAAAAUAUUGAGCUGUAGUUCUUAUGGCAGUUUGUUGCUUUACUUUCUUCUAUUCCUUUUCUAUAUUUAUGAGAUGUUCUUGAUAGCCUGGGCUAAGAUUUUAAGUGAGAAAAUUGGAUGAGAAGGCACCCAUUGAGUUGGGGUCACUAGCCAUGACCUUUUCUCCAAGAGAUCCAGUGCUUUGCUUCAUAAUCAUUUACAUAAUUACAAAAUAGUACUUUGAUGGAAAUCCUCCCAACAACAAAUGAACUUACAUGGCUAUGAGUGUGUAAUUGAGGUGGACUCUGACAUUUUGAUAUAAAAAGUAUUGUUUUUAAGUACAGUUUUAAAUUGAAUUUCGAGGACUUUUACUAAGACAGAAGCUACGUGUCAGAAAAAGUUUACCCAUGGAAAUUUAUUAACUUGUUCAGGACCUACAGGUCAUAACCAAGUGCCCCUGAAAAUAUUUUGAACCCAUUCCUGGAAGUUUGCUAUUAACUCUAAGUGAUUUUUUUUUUGUACUUUGUUCGGUUAAGUGAUAAUGAUGUUAUUUAUUUUAUUUGUACUUGAUUCUUUGAACCCACUAUUUAGAAAUUGUAAUACCAAAAUAUUUUCUAUUUUCUUGUGCCAGAUGAUAAUAAUAAUUGUUCUUUGUAGCUGCUUCAAUGAACACAUCUUUUAGAAUUGUAAUACCUGUUUUUCUUGCACAAAAGCCCCAGUUUGAAGGCUGCAAAAUACACUCAGAUUCAAACCUCUGUCUUUGUUUCUGUUUGUCGCUGCCAAAUCCUUACUCACUUAGUCUACGAAGGACCUACAUCCCAGGAAACACCACACCAGGCUGGGGUGGUCUGUGGCAUCAUAUAACAUACUCUUUAUCUUUAGCUUGGGGUAGGCUGUAAAAGAGCUAAACUCUCUCAUGGAGAUGAGGGUGGACUGCACCUAAGGCUGAAUUGUUCAUCACUUUUUGCAGUAUUGUUACUUCCUGGUGCUUGCUGAGGGCUACUCUCCUAGACUCUAAGCUACACUAUACUUACUUAAUACAGUCUACUCACAUUCCAUACAUAGUCAUGUAAUAUGCAUAUACUGUGUUAACAUGUUCCUCCUCAUGACUAUGAACAUGCAAACAUGCAUACAUUAUACUCACAUAUAAUACAUGCACACAUACAUCUAUGCAUAGAUCAUUUUCCUGGCAUGUACAAGGGUCUGAAUUAUAUUCCACACAUAACAGAACACACCUACACACAUACACACACACACACACACACACACACACACACAUUUCUCUUACCCACCAAUCCUCUCAGUCACCUAAUAAUCAUGCAUUACCACGCCUUCACUCAUGUACAAGGGUCUGAAUUAUAUUCCACACAUAGCAGAACACACCUACACACACACACACACACACACUCACACACACACACAUACACACACACACACAUUUCUCUUACCCACUAAUCCUCACAGUCACCUAAUAAUCAUGCAUUACCAUGCCUUCACUAUUUAAAGGGGACAUCAGAGGGAUUAGUAUUCUGUUUUGGUGAGGAAUACUAGUGUUGGCAUAAGUGUAUAAGCCAUACACUUAGGGUGGAGGCCCAAUAUAUAGUCUAGACUGACUUCAAGCUCAAAGCUAACCCUCUGCCUCAGCUUCCCAAAUUCUGGGGUUAAAGGUGUGAGUUAUCAUAUUUAGCAUGUUAUUCUAAAACUAGUAGUUCCUGGAAAACACUGUCAGGUAAAAUUCACUGGCAUAGAAGUUUCACUGGCAAAGCUCUGUGAAUCAUGUGAGUCUACUUAGUUUAUAAUAUGACUUGAUUGAUUGGCUGAUUGCUCAAUAACCAUGACGAUGGGGCAAGUUCUCUGAACCUAGGUCCAAUAGCACAGACGAGUGAUAAUGCUGCUCUUCAGGAGGAGAGGGAGGAGGCAAGAAGAUCUGAAGAUCAAGGUCUGCCUGGGAUGCAAUGCGAUCUACCUCUAUCAAAUCUGACCAGUAUGACUCUGUGAGGUUUCCAGAGCCUAAUCACACCUUUUAAAAACACAAAGACAAAAAUCUUUCUCCCAAAAUCAAGUUGUUGAAACCUAUUUCAGGGAGAUUGAGAGCCCAGUGGGAAAUGGGCAUUGUCCAGGCUGAGGAAGCUGCUAGCAUGUCAGUAGAGGAGCGGAAAGCCAAGUUUACUUUCCUUUAUGUGGGGGACCAACUGCGCCUCAACCCUCAAGUGGC